rnacentral:rRNA from 1 species
UACGAAGGGAGCUAGCGUUGUUCGGAAUCACUGGGCGUAAAGCGCACGUAGGCGGAUGUGUCAGUCAGGGGUGAAAUCCCGGAGCUCAACUUCGGAACUGCCCUUGAUACAGCACGUCUUGAGUCCGAGAGAGGUGGAUGGAAUUCCUAGUGUAGAGGUGAAAUGCGUAGAUAUAGGAAGGAAUACCAGUGGCGAAGGCGGCCUCCUGAAUCGAUACUGACGCUGAGGCGCGAAAGCGUGGGGAGCAAACAGG